GACGAACGCUGGCGGCGUGCCUAAUACAUGCAAGUCGAACGCAGUGGGGACGGGUGAGUAACACGUGGGUAACCUCCCAUCAGAGGGGAUAACACUUGGAAACAGGUGCUAAACCGAUACUGAUGGAUGGACCCGCGGGGCAUUAGCGAGUUGGUGAGGUAACGGCUCACCAAGGCCACGAUGCAUAGCCGGCCUGAGAGGGGGAGCGGCCACACUGGGACUGAGACACGGCCCAGACUCCUACGGGAGGCAGCAGUAGGGAAUCUUCGGCAAUGGGCGCAAGUCUGACCGAGCAACGCCGCGUUAGUGAAGAAGGCUUUCGGAUCGUAAAACUCUUUUGUUGGAGAAGCGGUACCUAACGAAAAAGCCACGGCUAACUACGUGCCAGCAGCCGCGGUAAUUC
rnacentral:rRNA from 1 species